GAUGAAGAACGCAGCGUAAUGCGAUAAGUAAUGUGAAUUGCAGAAUUCAGUGAAUCAUCGAGUCUUUGAACGCACAUUGCGCCCCCUGGUAUUCCGGGGGGCAUGCCUGUCCGAGCGUCAUUGCUGCCCUCAAGCCCGGCUUGUGUGUUGGGUCUCGUCCCCCUUCCCGGGGGGACGGGCCCGAAAGGCAGCGGCGGCACCGCGUCCGGUCCUCGAGCGUAUGGGGCUUUGUCACCCGCUCUGUAGGCCCGGCCGGCGCUUGCCGAUCAACCAAAACUUUUUUCCAGGUUGACCUCGGAUCAGGUAGGGAUACCCGCUGAACUUAAGCAUAUCAAUAAGCGGAGGA
rnacentral:misc_RNA from 1 species